rnacentral:rRNA from 1 species
UACGUAGGUGGCAAGCGUUGUCCGGAUUUACUGGGCGUAAAGAGCGCGCAGGCGGUCGGAUAAGUCGAAUGUGAAAGCCCCCGGCUCAACUGGGGAGGGUCAUUCGAUACUGUUCGACUCGAAGGCAGGAGAGGGAAGUGGAAUUCCCGGUGUAGUGGUGAAAUGCGUAGAUAUCGGGAGGAACACCAGUGGCGAAGGCGACUUCCUGGCCUGUUCUUGACGCUGAGGCGCGGAAGCUAGGGGAGCAAACGGG